rnacentral:rRNA from 1 species
UACGUAGGUGGCAAGCGUUGUCCGGAUUCACUGGGCGUAAAGAGCGCGCAGGCGGUCGUUCAAGUCGCGUGUGAAAGCCCCCGGCUCAACUGGGGAGGGUCACGCGAUACUGAUCGACUCGAAGGCAGGAGAGGGAAGUGGAAUUCCCGGUGUAGUGGUGAAAUGCGUAGAUAUCGGGAGGAACACCAGUGGCGAAGGCGACUUCCUGGCCUGUUCUUGACGCUGAGGCGCGAAAGCUAGGGGAGCAAACGGG